rnacentral:lncRNA from 1 species
AUACUUGAUACGUACGUCAAUAAAUAAACGAAUGAAUUAAUAAGUAAUACUAAUAUACUUUAUAUUUUUAUGCUCUUUUUCCAAAAUAACAGGAAUUCCUGAUCCCUCAUCGACAUUUUGUUACUUAUAUGAAUAAAUUUUGGCUAAAAUAUUCAAAUGUAAACCAAAAGCUACCCUUUUUAAUAUUGCAAUAGAGUAUAGAAUAAAAUCCUACGUAAAUUUUAAUAUUGUUUGUAUAUAUAUAAAAAGAGUAUGGGUGUGUCUUUUAUAGGUGCCCACAUCGUUGGACCUAACAGGUUGAAGUUUUGAAUGGGUGCCUUUUUGAUCUUGAUAAGGAUAAGAUGGGGGUGGGGGUCAUAUAAAUGGUCUUAUUCUAUACCGGAAACACAAAAUCGUUUUUGAAGCUUACGAAGACUAGAUAAAAGGUUGAGUUAUAAAUUAAUAAGUGACUGGCGUCUCAAUAAAACAAUUAUACGAAUAAGGAAGUUUUCUGAAUUUAUAAGAAAUCAAAAAAAAUUGGACAAAAACAGCAAUCGGUGAAAAUUGAGUUUCGUUUUUUUUGUUUUUUUUUCAGGUACAAAAAAAAUUAUAUUUCCCAUUGAAUAUUGGUUUCGUUGAUUAAAUAAAGUUUGUAGAAAUUUGUCUAGAAAUUCGUUUGCAUAUCAACCUUAAACAUAAAAAUUGAUGUAUAAAUAAAAUGUCGUUCACCUUCUGAAUAAUUUUUUUCAUUAAAUGUCAAUUUUCAAUUUGUAAGAAGAAAUGCUUCUAAACGAGGAAUUUUGGACAUAAAAUUUUUAGACUAAUUACAAUUUAGUCUUUUUUAAUUUCCAGAACAUUUUAUUACAUGAUAUUUUCAAAAAUGAACCAGUUUUCAAGAGUUCGUUUUUCGACGACAUUAUUCCUAUAACGUUUUUGUUUUUCCAAAUACGGGAAAAAUAUUUUAGUUUUGUAUCCACUAAUUUUGCAAAAUUAGUGGAAAAAGUUUUCGCCAAUUUUCUUCACAAACUUCGAUUUGGCAAUUUUUUCCCAAAAAAAAAUAAUUAUGCAUGUAUAUUGGUAUGUUAUUUGAAGUUUAUGGUUCCCGGACUUUAUGGAGAGAGCGACUAUAUGGAGAUAGUUUUAUAUCUAUAUUUUUUUAUAUGGAGACAACAGAUUAUUUAAAUACAACAAUUAGUUGGAAUUCAUCGUCAUAUUAUCUUGCUAGAUGAAUUUAUGGGUUCUAGUGACGUUUUCGCCUUUUAACGUGUUUACCCUGAGAGAAUAUAUAAUGGGGGACUUACAGCAGAAGGAGGGACUUCUGAUCUCGUUAAUCAUUGUCUCUAUACAUAAAUACCACUAGAUCUUCAACGGAAUCAUCGUAUACUUCUACAUAUAAGAAUUAAGGAGUUCCAUUAAACGAUAGAAAGACCUGAUGAUAAAUAAAGAGAGUUCUCAUCCUCCAUCCACAGCUCCUUCUUUGAAAUUAUCGAAAGACAACUCUGCCUCAUCUUCUACUCUAAGAAAACUAUUUCAUUAAGAGUCCUCCAGUGUCCUUGAUGUAUAUAACACAGAAAUCACUCCUCUCUAUCACAUUUUUAUCAAUUCCAUUUAUAAGUUGGACUUUUUUUAUUUACAGUCUGUACGGAUAAUUAUAAAACCUGGACACUUCAAUCUCACGCCUGAUUUCUUUAUUAUUACUGAGUCUCUUUUGUCAUUUGAAAACAAGUGCAAGAUAAUUCUAGACUCGUAAAGAAAAUUUACUUCUCUUUUCUCGAUAUUUGGGUCUACAAUGCAUAUUGCAUUCUGAUAUUAUAUAUAAAUAGUUAUUUAGUACUGGAGAGUUCCACAAUAAGAAAUAAUUACCAAAUGAAUUACCCAGUGAUGAACAAAGAGUUUCAUUUAUCCACAGCUUCUUCGGUGAAACUCUUGAAUCUUGUUCCUUCCAAAGUCGACUUUUUUUUCCCGUCUCUUAUUCUGGGAAAAAUAUUUCACUGUUAAGAAUCCUUCAGUUUCCUGGAUGUAUAUAAUGCUUGGAAAAAAGUAGAAGUCAGUCUUAAACUCUCAAUCAAUAUCCACCCUUUUUUUGUCUACAAUACAUAUUAUAUUUUGCUACUAUCUCUAUAAAUAGAUUUUGUGAAUUGUGGAGUCAUAAGUGAUUAUGUGAUAAAAAUUUAUAAGUGGCCUCCUAACUUCUGUAGACUUACAAUUUUGAAAUUUAGUUAGUCUUAAUCAUCUUAAAGAAAAUAUAUCUUUUUUUGUAAUGUAAUUUUUCUGGAACUUGCACCAUGAGAAUUUUACCUUUUUUUACCAGAAGGUAUGCUACCAUUAGCUUCAUUUAAAUAUUUUAGCUAGAUAUAUUAAAAUAUUUAAAUCCAACUUGAGCAAUAUAAUUAUCAAAAUGAUGUUGUUUUUUACACUUCAGCCUAAUAGGAAGAUAGGAAUCUCCCGUUUCUAAUAAAUUAACAAAUAGCUUUUUAAAGCAUCGUCUUGGUUUUGUCGACGUCAAAAAAAAAUUGAUCGAGUUUGUUUGCUGAGAAUAUCAUAUUGUAAAGCCGACUAACAUGUAAUGUAUUCAAAUAUAAUAAUAAAUCUGAAGCCCUAUUAACACUAUCUUGAUAAGUUUCGAUGAGAUCUCGAUCUUCUCCAGAAAAUUCCGACACCAUGAGUUAUUGAUUUGUGAGAAAUCAAAAAGGUUAACAAUCUUUAAUUUUGAAAAACUUAAUGAUGAAAGAGGCUAUGUAUCCGGGUAUAUAAAACAAUAGCUUCCCUAACUGUCCCUGGGGGAAACAACUCUGAUCUUUGUAGCAAUUAACCAUCUUCAUAUUACUGGGAGGAUAUUGGAUCCUAACGAAUGGAAGUAAAAACAUGGUUUCAAGACCAUCCAGUUUUAGUGGUUAAUAAAUAAAAGAAGCCCAUUGAUCUGUUGAGUUGAAGAUUGAAUAGGAUAAGGAGAUCUUCACAUUUUGAGUCAAAUUCAAACUCAGAAAGUCCAUACCUAGGAUGGACAUUGGACAUCUUUAAUUAUGAAAUUAUAAGGAACUUCCCUCUGAAAGAGCGAAUCGAAAUAGAUUAUAUUAAUUCUUGUUUUGUAAAUAUAAAUGAUAAAAAUGUACUUAAAGUCAAGAUUUUAUGUAAAUCUUAACGUGUGUACUAUGGUAUCUCAAAUUUUGGAUGAUCUAUUGUGUAUGGAUGAAAAAAAAAGAUGUUUGAAAAGUUUCAGUCUUGAAAAACCGUUUCUGUGACCUAUCUAGCUAUUUGAAAAUAAAAUUUGUCAAAUU